ACUGGGCCUGCCACUAUGACUCAGGACGACCUUUGAUAGAGACAUCUGUGCUGGGCAAAGGGGACUCGUGGAGUUCAGGGCAGUUCCUCCCUGGAAACGCACGACACCGCCCCUGGAGUCCAGAAGUGAAUGCCACCCGCAGCGGGAAAACUCAAAACCUUUCACAGUGGCUCUUUCAUGCUCCUGGGCCUCGGGAGAGAGCAGCUCUGUCCCCACUUCUGAGGAUGGAGCUCCUUCGGUUCCCUCUGCGGGCGAAGGGUGGAGAACCUUCCACGGGGACGCGGAUCAGCGGGACAGAGCACGCAGGGAAAGUGUGGGGACUGAGGAGGGGACGGAGGUGUACCCGUAAGUUCGGUCCCGCCCCUCAGCGGCCUGCGCGCCCAAAUAAAUUAAGGCGGGAGCUGAGCCCAGGCGCCAAGCACGACCUGGCCUUGGGUCCGGAGCUCAGGAGCCCUGGGAGACCUUAAAGCCCGAGGCCCCUCCGCUCCCGUGCCUGGGGCAGAGACGUCGCUGGUCAGGUGCCGGACCCGCCUUGGUCCCCCUUCCUGAGAUGCACGGGACAGGAUGCGUCCUCAGCGACACCUGCUGCCUCCUCGCCACUGGCUUCUGCCCUCUGGGUCGCACUUGCCGCGCCUCCCUGGCUGUCACCUUAUAAGGUGGACCCAAAGCAAAGGAUCCUGGAUUCAUCAUUUGUUUGGUAGCCCUUGGUGGGAAGAGGAUGGCUGGGCUCUGAGAGGAAGUGGACAUGUGGCCUGUGUUAUCGGCGGACACAACAUCUUUGUUUGUAUGUGGUGCUGAGGAUCGAACCCGUGCCGCGCAUGCCUGGUGAGCGCACUACCACUUGAGCCACAUCCCCAGCCCGCCUGUUAGUUUUUUGCAGAGGUACUGCUUCACACAAACUAACAACAACAAAAAAAUCCCUAAAUAAACCUGGGUUAAUUUGAGAUAAUAAGCUAUCAACUACAGCACAAAUAUUAUAUAAUGCUGACUUCCACUACUAAUUCUAACCCCAAUUAAAUAAAAGUGGUGUCUGUAAAAUUAUAGAUAUUGAAGAUAUAACCUGUGACUCUCUCAUUAAAACUGGUGAAACUGG